AACGAACGCUGGCGGCAUGCCUAACACAUGCAAGUCGAACGAGAUCUUCGGAUCUAGUGGCGCACGGGUGCGUAACGCGUGGGAAUCUGCCCUUGGGUACGGAAUAACUCAGAGAAAUUUGUGCUAAUACCGUAUAAUGUCUUCGGACCAAAGAUUUAUCGCCCAAGGAUGAGCCCGCGUAGGAUUAGCUAGUUGGUGAGGUAAAAGCUCACCAAGGCGACGAUCCUUAGCUGGUCUGAGAGGAUGAUCAGCCACACUGGGACUGAGACACGGCCCAGACUCCUACGGGAGGCAGCAGUGGGGAAUAUUGGACAAUGGGCGAAAGCCUGAUCCAGCAAUGCCGCGUGAGUGAUGAAGGCCCUAGGGUUGUAAAGCUCUUUUACCCGGGAUGAUAAUGACAGUACCGGGAGAAUAAGCUCCGGCUAACUUCGUGCCAGCAGCCGCGGUAAUACGAGGGGAGCUAGCGUUGUUCGGAAUUACUGGGCGUAAAGCGCGCGUAGGCGGUUUUUUAAGUCAGACUGAGGUGAAAGCCCGGGGCUCAACCCCGGAAUAGCCUUUGAAACUGGAAAACUAGAAUCUUGGAGAGGUCAGUGGAAUUCCGAGUGUAGAGGUGAAAUUCGUAGAUAUUCGGAAGAACACCAGUGGCGAAGGCGACUGACUGGACAAGUAUUGACGCUGAGGUGCGAAAGCGUGGGGAGCAAACA
rnacentral:rRNA from 1 species